UACGUAGGGUGCAAGCGUUGUCCGGAAUUAUUGGGCGUAAAGAGCUCGUAGGCGGUUUGUCGCGUCGAAUGUGAAAACCCGGGGCUCAACCCCGGGCCUGCAUUCGAUACGGGCAGACUAGAGUUCGGUAGGGGAGUCUGGAAUUCCUGGUGUAGCGGUGAAAUGCGCAGAUAUCAGGAGGAACACCGGUGGCGAAGGCGGGACUCUGGGCCGAUACUGACGCUGAGGAGCGAAAGCGUGAGGAGCAAACAGG
rnacentral:rRNA from 1 species